UGCACUCAUCGGACGCAAGUGUCUAUUGUGCGGAGCGAGUCUGAGUUCUAUUCGGUGUUCAGUUCAUUGCUACGUCCAAAAAUCGCGUACAUUUCGAUGCUUGAAAGCAUUGCAUCAAAACCAAAUGUCAAAAACCUACAAGCAAAAAUUCCGCGGAGUGGUUGGUAGGUAUAAACAGGCACACUAUCCCAAUUAUUUUCUUAAUCACAAAGUACGAGAGAGUCGUAUAAAAAUCAUUGGCAACACAAGGAAGUCAGCACGAGGUUGAGUAAUGACCCAACACCAAUGUAUGUAUUGCUACGAAUCGGUGUACUGUGCGGACUCUGCCAAAAAAUCAGCAAGUUGAUGAGCACUUGGUAUUUCAUCGGAGCCCUUCUAGUGCUCCCGGCAAUGGCGGGAGGCUCAACAAGCAAAAUUAUUGUGUCAGGCAACAACUCUGUCAGCGAUAACUAUGAAAAAGAAGGAGGUGGUUAUACUACAGCAUCCGCUAGUGUUACCAGCAGGGGCGGUAGCCGUAGCAGUGGCAACGAAAGUGGGAAAGGUGGCGGCACUGUGGUCAGCGGCAAUGUUGUGAUAGUGACCGGUGGUAUUGGGCCGUCGUCUAUGUUGA